CCCUGUUAUUACCAAACACGCUGAGAGGGUUCGAGAGAGGAAACCGCCGCCUGGUAGAUCGACGGCGGCGCCCUCGCAGAUCCACCACGCCGGCAUAGGUCGUAUGGUCGCCGCCUCCCCUUCCCUUCUUCCGCUGCAGCCAUCCCUUCCCCUCCUCCGGUGCUACCCCUUCCCGUUCUCUCCGGCCCUGCUCGCCGUGGCCAGAUCGCAUCUGAAGUCAACGGCGGCAGUCCACUCCGGCGCCGGCCCUUCCUUUCCUCUCCAGCCGUGCGGUGGCCCACUGCCGGUGCACAUCUCCUCUCCCUCAGACCACCUCCUGGGCCGCCCCUUCUUCUGUGGGUCCAGCCAACCCCUUCUUCAUCCAUGAUUCUUCCCUAUCUCAAGCAGCCUGCUCUGUUUCCUUUUAUUCCCAGCCCUUUUGUCAAUGAUUUGCUGAGCACUGAUGUAUCCUCUUGUUGCAGGUUGGAUUAAAAGUUGGAAGCCAUCUAGGCCGAGCUAAGCUGCAUCAUGUCACAAAUGGAUUUGAUUGCUUCCAUCACCGAAGAGAACAAAAGAAGAAAAAGGAAAAGGAUCAUCUUGACAGCGAUGUAUGUUUAGUCAGUUUGUCUUGGCCUAGCUUAUCUUAGUACGCAGAGAGUACCGAAGAGUUUGCGAUGCUUUAGUGACGACGAGCUUCGAUAUGUUCAUAGGAAGUACUUGCCGAAAGAAAUGUACAAUGGGUCAGAAGUAACUUGCUAUGAUGAGUUGCGCUUAACCAAAAUGAAUUUUCAUGAUC